CCUUGGGUGUCGUCAUUUUAGAGUUACCAUAGUUCAUAUAUGAAAAAGUACCACUUCUUUUACUUUAUUCAUUUUAGGACCUCCCUUAACUUGGCAAACAUACAAGACCAUAACUAAAGGGUGCAUACGUCAUGGACAUUUUCCUGACUUAGUUCAAGAUGGCAUCUUAAAGUCUGAAUAACUUAUCUGUCGUGGGAGAUUCUUGGAUUUGGG
rnacentral:lncRNA from 1 species